UGGUUCUGAAUGGAAGGGCCAUCGCUCAACGGAUAAAAGGUACUCCGGGGAUAACAGGCUGAUACCGCCCAAGAGUUCAUAUCGACGGCGGUGUUUGGCACCUCGAUGUCGGCUCAUCACAUCCUGGGGCUGAAGUAGGUCCCAAGGGUAUGGCUGUUCGCCAUUUAAAGUGGUACGCGAGCUGGGUUUAGAACGUCGUGAGACAGUUCGGUCCCUAUCUGCCGUGGGCGUUGGAAGAUUGAGAGGGGUUGCUCCUAGUACGAGAGGACCGGAGUGAACGCACCACUGGUGUACGGGUUGUGAUGCCAAUUGCAUUGCCCGGUAGCUAAGUGCGGAAGAGAUAACCGCUGAAAGCAUCUAAGCGGGAAACUUGCCUCGAGAUGAGUCUUCCCUGGGCACUUGAUGCCCCUGAAGGGCCGUUGAAGACGACGACGUAGAUAGGCUGGGUGUGUAAGCGUAGCGAUACGUUGAGCUAACCAGUACUAAUGACCCGAGAGGCUUAACCUUACAACACCGAAGGUGUUU
rnacentral:rRNA from 2 species